rnacentral:lncRNA from 1 species
UACUCUCUCUCUCUCUCUCUUUUUUUUUUUUUUUUUACAGUGGCAUAAGUAAAACGCUUGUGUAAAACCCCAGCAGAGUCAAGGCACAGCUUGUACCACAGAUGGCUGGCAGGAUGCAUUGCAUUCCUCCUACCCUUGAAUCCUGAGCUGCAGGCCUUUGGGGAAACAAACAGCUUAUUCCUUUAUGGCAACCUGAAGCCCAAGGCAGGAAAGCUGAAUUUGCCUCCAUGUACUGAAUGUGCUUUGGCAACAUCUUCCAUGUAUUCCAGAGGCAGGAGGACAGAGAUGGUUCAGAUUUAGUUGUCAGAGCAGAAGGCUUCUCUCCUUUUUGUCUUCUCAACCAAACAGUCAUGAGGACGUAAAGUGGAAGGCGUUGGCUUAACAUGAAGAGCUAUGAUUUUCUUUGUUAUCUUCAAAGCAGGCAGCAUCUCGUCACCUGCUGUCUGUUUUACCUGCCAAUUAAGUGGUCCAUAGGGAGCCGUACAAGGAGAAGGCACCCUAGCUGGACUCUUUGGCACUCUGAGGUACAGCGCAAGGAUGUUUGCUGCUCCAAGUGAUCUAUAAUCUUAGUGUUUCAGAAAAUAGUAUAAAUCGUGC